rnacentral:rRNA from 1 species
CAAUAGCGUAUAUUAAAGUUGUUGCAGUUAAAAAGCUCGUAGUUGGAUUUCUGGCAGGAGCGACCGGUCACACACUCUGUGUGUGAACUUGUGUUGUCUCUGGCCAUCCUUGGGGAGAUCCUGUUUGACAUUAAGUUGUCGGGCAGGGGACAUCCAUCGUUUACUGUGAAAAAAUUAGAGUGUUUAAAGCAGGCUUAUGCCGUUGAAUAUAUUAGCAUGGAAUAAUAAGAUAGGACUUCGGAACUAUUUUGUUGGUUUGCGUUACGAAGUAAUGAUUAAUAGGGACAGUUGGGGGUAUUCGUAUUUCGUUGUCAGAGGUGAAAUUCUUGGAUUUCCGAAAGACGAACUACUGCGAAAGCAUUUACCAAGGAUGUUUUCAUUA